ensembl:snoRNA Gm23477 small nucleolar RNA SNORA17
CCUGCCCCUAGAGGGGUUGCAGGUGUGACUGCUGUGUCUUAUGUGUUAUAGGUGGCAAAGAGGAAAGAGGCUAUGUACAUGUUCUGUGUUCUAUAUGCAAACACGUGAAUGAUUAAUAACCUAACCCU